rnacentral:rRNA from 1 species
UACAGAGGUCUCAAGCGUUGUUCGGAUUCAUUGGGCGUAAAGGGUGCGUAGGUGGCGUGGUAAGUCGGGUGUGAAAUUUCGGAGCUUAACUCCGAAACUGCAUUCGAUACUGCCGUGCUUGAGGACUGGAGAGGAGACUGGAAUUUACGGUGUAGCAGUGGAAUGCGUAGAUAUCUGGAAGAACACCGGUGGCGAAGGCGGCUUGCUGGGCCGGUUCUGACACUCAUCCGCGAAAGCGUGGGGAGCAAACAGG